rnacentral:rRNA from 1 species
UCGGGAAUAUUGCGCAAUGGAGGAAACUCUGACGCAGUGACGCCGCGUGCAGGAAGAAGGUUUUCGGAUUGUAAACUGCUUUAGACAGGGAAGAAACAAGACAGUACCUGUAAAAUAAGCUCCGGCUAACUACGUGCCAGCAGCCGCGGUAAUACGUAGGGAGCAAGCGUUAUCCGGAUUUAUUGGGUGUAAAGGGUGCGUAGACGGGAAGACAAGUUGGUUGUGAAAUCCCUCGGCUUAACCGAGGAACUGCAACCAAAACUAUCUUUCUUGAGUGUUGGAGAGGAAAGUGGAAUUCCUAGUGUAGCGGUGAAAUGCGUAGAUAUUAGGAGGAACGCCAGUGGCGAAGGCGACUUUCUGGACAAUAACUGACGUUGAUGCACGAAAGUGUGGGGAGCAAACAGGAUUAGAUACCC